rnacentral:rRNA from 1 species
AGCACUAUACCGUGAAACUGCGAAUGGCUCAUUAUAUCAGUAAUUGUUUAUUUGAUAGUACCUAUUUACCUGGAUACCCGUGGUAAUUCUAGAGCUAAUACAUGCUAAAAACCCCGACUUCGGAAGGGGUGUAUUUAUUAGAUAAAAAACCAAUGCCCUCUGGGGCUCCCUGGUGAUUCAUAAUAACUUAACGAAUCGCAUGGCCUUGCGCUGGCGAUGGUUCAUUCAAAUUUCUGCCCUAUCAACUUUCGAUGGUAGGAUAGUGGCCUACCAUGGUAUCAACGGGUAACGGGGAAUUAGGGUUCUAUUCCGGAGAGGGAGCCUGAGAAACGGCUACCACAUCCAAGGAAGGCAGCAGGCGCGCAAAUUACCCAAUCCCAAUACGGGGAGGUAGUGACAAUAAAUACUGAUACAGGGCUCUUUUGGGUCUUGUAAUUGGAAUGAGUACAACUUAAAUCCCUUAACGAGGAACAAUUGGAGGGCAAGUCUGGUGCCAGCAGCCGCGGUAAUUCCAGCUCCAAUAGCGUAUAUUAAAGUUGUUGCAGUUAAAAAGCUCGUAGUUGAACCUUGGGCCUGGCUGGUCGGUCCGCCUCACCGCGUGCACUGAUCCGGCCGGGCCUUUCCUUCUGGGGAGCCGCAUGCCCUUCACUGGGUGUGUCGGGGAACCAGGACUUUUACUUUGAAAAAAUUAGAGUGUUCAAAGCAGGCCUAUGCUCGAAUACAUUAGCAUGGAAUAAUAGAAUAGGACGUGUGGUUCUAUUUUGUUGGUUUCUAGAAUCGCCGUAAUGAUUAAUAGGGAUAGUCGGGGGCAUCAGUAUUCAAUUGUCAGAGGUGAAAUUCUUGGAUUUAUUGAAGACUAACUACUGCGAAAGCAUUUGCCAAGGAUGUUUUCAUUAAUCAGUGAACGAAAGUUAGGGGAUCGAAGACGAUCAGAUACCGUCGUAGUCUUAACCAUAAACUAUGCCGACUAGGGAUCGGGCGAUGUUAUUUUUUGACUCGCUCGGCACCUUACGAGAAAUCAAAGUCU